rnacentral:rRNA from 1 species
UACGUAGGGGGCGAGCGUUGUCCGGAUUUAUUGGGCGUAAAGAGCUCGUAGGCGGCUUAGCAAGUCGGGUGUGAAAACUCCAGGCUCAACCUGGAGACGCCACUCGAGACUGCUAUGGCUAGAGUCCGGUAGGGGACCACGGAAUUCCUGGUGUAGCGGUGAAAUGCGCAGAUAUCAGGAGGAACACCAGUGGCGAAGGCGGCUUUCUGGACGGUAACUGACGCUGAGGCGCGAAAGCGUGGGGAGCAAACAGG